rnacentral:lncRNA from 1 species
CUCCUUCGACUUUUGUUUCACAUUUGCCAGGAGGAUUAGCUUUCCUUGUUGCCUGUGCUCAGCACAGCAUGAAGAGAGGAAGCAUGGUCUAGCUGGGUACCAAGGAUGUUGCAAGAGAUCCGGGGCCACAGAGUAGGAGCCGGAGAAAACCCAGAGAAGCUGCUGACAACCAUGCCAGUCCCCUGCCCACUCUGCCUCUUGCCUAGGUCUGACAAAACUGGAGAAAUUAAAUUCUUUUUCAGCUUUCAUUUUCUUCAUCCCCACAACAGACACCAGUGUGGUAAGCACAAAGUCAGCAGGUCUGACUUACAAGAGGCUGAACACCCUGUUUUACAAAUGUUUGUGAAACCAAA